GAUGAACGCUGACAGAAUGCUUAACACAUGCAAGUCAACUUGAACUUCGGUUUGGGUGGCGGACGGGUGAGUAACGCGUAAAGAACUUGCCUCACAGAUAGGGACAACAUUUGGAAACGAAUGCUAAUACCUGAUAUUAUGAUUAUAUGGCAUCGUAUAAUUAUGAAAGCUAUAUGCGCUGUGAGAGAGCUUUGCGUCCCAUUAGCUAGUUGGAGAGGUAACGGCUCACCAAGGCGAUGAUGGGUAGCCGGCCUGAGAGGGUGAUCGGCCACAAGGGGACUGAGACACGGCCCUUACUCCUACGGGAGGCAGCAGUGGGGAAUAUUGGACAAUGGACCAAGAGUCUGAUCCAGCAAUUCUGUGUGCACGAUGAAGUUUUUCGGAAUGUAAAGUGCUUUCAGUUGGGAGGAAAAAAUGACGGUACCAACAGAAGAAGUGACGGCUAAAUACGUG
rnacentral:rRNA from 1 species